GAAAAUCUCUUGGAUACAGUGAAUAAGAGAGUGAAGGCUGAAGGCGAAAUUCGAACUAGAGUUCCAGAGUCAGAUGAAAUUAGUAAACGGAUGUCUGGAUUAACGCUAAUGAAUGUAAUUUGUG